rnacentral:rRNA from 1 species
UUAGAGUUUGAUCCUGGCUCAGGAUGAACGCUAGCGGCAGGCUUAACACAUGCAAGUCGAGGGGCAGCGAGAUCAGUGCUUGCACUGAUUGUCGGCGACCGGCGCACGGGUGCGUAACGCGUAUGCAACCUACCCAUUACAGGGGGAUAACACUGAGAAAUCGGUACUAAUACCCCAUAACAUCCAGGGAGGCAUCUUCUUGGGUUGAAAACUCCGGUGGUAAUGGAUGGGCAUGCGUUGUAUUAGUUAGUUGGUGGGGUAACGGCUCACCAAGACAACGAUACAUAGGGGGACUGAGAGGUUAACCCCCCACAUUGGUACUGAGACACGGACCAAACUCCUACGGGAGGCAGCAGUGAGGAAUAUUGGUCAAUGGACGCAAGUCUGAACCAGCCAUGCCGCGUGCAGGAAGACGGCUCUAUGAGUUGUAAACUGCUUUUGUACGAGGGUAAACGCAGAUACGCGUAUCUGUCUGAAAGUAUCGUACGAAUAAGGAUCGGCUAACUCCGUGCCAGCAGCCGCGGUAAUACGGAGGAUUCAAGCGUUAUCCGGAUUUAUUGGGUUUAAAGGGUGCGUAGGCGGUCGGAUAAGUUAGAGGUGAAAUCCCGGGGCUCAACUUCGGAAUUGCCUCUGAUACUGUUCGGCUAGAGAGUAGUUGCGGUAGGCGGAAUGUAUGGUGUAGCGGUGAAAUGCUUAGAGAUCAUACAGAACACCGAUUGCGAAGGCAGCUUACCAAGCUACUUCUGACGUUGAGGCACGAAAGCGUGGGGAGCAAACAGGAUUAGAUACCCUGGUAGUCCACGCAGUAAACGAUGAUAACUCGUUGUCGGCGAUACAGUGUCGGUGACUAAGCGAAAGCGAUAAGUUAUCCACCUGGGGAGUACGUUCGCAAGAAUGAAACUCAAAGGAAUUGACGGGGGCCCGCACAAGCGGAGGAACAUGUGGUUUAAUUCGAUGAUACGCGAGGAACCUUACCCGGGCUUGAAAGUUAGUGACGGAUCUUGAAAGAGGUCUUCCCUUCGGGGCACGAAACUAGGUGCUGCAUGGUUGUCGUCAGCUCGUGCCGUGAGGUGUCGGGUUAAGUCCCAUAACGAGCGCAACCCCUACCGUUAGUUGCCAGCAGGUCAAGCUGGGCACUCUGACGGGACUGCCGGUGUAAGCCGAGAGGAAGGUGGGGAUGACGUCAAAUCAGCACGGCCCUUACGUCCGGGGCUACACACGUGUUACAAUGGCAGGUACAGAGGGCAGCUACCCAGCGAUGGGAUGCGAAUCUCGAAAGCCUGUCUCAGUUCGGAUUGGAGGCUGAAACCCGCCUCCAUGAAGUUGGAUUCGCUAGUAAUCGCGCAUCAGCCAUGGCGCGGUGAAAAGGUUCCCGGGCCUUGUACACACCGCCCGUCA